rnacentral:rRNA from 1 species
CCUACGGGUGGCUGCAGUCGAGAAUCUUCCGCAAUGGGGGCAACCCUGACGGAGCGACGCCGCGUGUAGGAUGAAGGUCUUCGGAUUGUAAACUACUGUCAGCAGGGAAGAAAGGACGCUCGGUUAAUACCUUGGCGUUUUGACGGUACCUGCAGAGGAAGCCACGGCUAACUUCGUGCCAGCAGCCGCGGUAAUACGAAGGUGGCUAGCGUUAUUCGGAUUUAUUGGGCGUAAAGGGUCCGCAGGCGGUUCGGAAAGUCAGAUGUGAAAUCCCA